rnacentral:rRNA from 1 species
CGGCGGACGGGUGAGUAACACGUGGAUAACCUACCUAUAAGACUGGGAUAACUUCGGGAAACCGGAGCUAAUACCGGAUAAUAUAUUGAACCGCAUGGUUCAAUAGUGAAAGACGGUUUUGCUGUCACUUAUAGAUGGAUCCGCGCCGCAUUAGCUAGUUGGUAAGGUAACGGCUUACCAAGGCAACGAUGCGUAGCCGACCUGAGGGGGUGAUCGGCCACACUGGAACUGAGACACGGUCCAG